ensembl:snoRNA
GGCCUCCUCGUGCUUACCACAGGCUGUGUUCUUAACACUGUAUGUAGAAAGAGGAAGCAGAGUAGACCUUCCCCAUAUACACCUCAGCUCAGCUCUCAUUCCUGCUUGUGAAUGGGGGGACAUGG